rnacentral:rRNA from 1 species
GAUGAACGCUGGCGGCGUGCCUAAUACAUGCAAGUCGAGCGAACAGACGAGGAGCUUGCUCCUCUGACGUUAGCGGCGGACGGGUGAGUAACACGUGGAUAACCUACCUAUAAGACUGGGAUAACUUCGGGAAACCGGAGCUAAUACCGGAUAAUAUAUUGAACCGCAUGGUUCAAUAGUGAAAGACGGUUUUGCUGUCACUUAUAGAUGGAUCCGCGCCGCAUUAGCUAGUUGGUAAGGUAACGGCUUACCAAGGCAACGAUGCGUAGCCGACCUGAGAGGAUGAUCGGUCACACUGGAACUGAGACACGGUCCAGACUCCUACGGGAGGCAGCAGUAGGGAAUCUUCCGCAAUGGGCGAAAGCCUGACGGAGCAACGCCGCGUGAGUGAUGAAGGUCUUCGGAUCGUAAAACUCUGUUAUUAGGGAAGAACAAAUGUGUAAGUAACUAUGCACGUCUUGACGGUACCUAAUCAGAAAGCCACGGCUAACUACGUG